rnacentral:lncRNA from 1 species
UAUCUGACUGAGUUGAUUGAUCGAUUUAAGAGAUGGAAGGCAGAAGGCCACAGUGAUGAGGAAUCCGAUUCUGAGGGCUCUGACUCGGAAUCCAGCAGCAGGGAAAGUAAUACCCACCCUGAAUGGAGUUUCACCACUGUGCGUAAGAAGCCUGAUCCAAAGAAACUGCAGAAUGGGGAAGAGCAAGAUCUUGUGCAAACCCUGAGCUGUUUGUCUAUGAUAAUCACACCUGCAUUUGCUGAACUUAAACAGCAGGAUGAGAACAAUGCAAGCCGAAACCAGGCAAUUGAAGAACUUGAGAAAAGUAUUGCUGUGGCCGAAGCUGCCUGUCCUGGCAUCACAGAUAAAAUGGUGAAGAAACUAAUCG